UGGGGAAUAUUGGACAAUGGGCGAAAGCCUGAUCCAGCCAUGCCGCGUGUGUGAAGAAGGUCUUCGGAUUGUAAAGCACUUUAAGUUGGGAGGAAGGGUUGUAGAUUAAUACUCUGCAAUUUUGACGUUACCGACAGAAUAAGCACCGGCUAACUCUGUGCCAGCAGCCGCGGUAAUACAGAGGGUGAAAGCGUUAAUAGGAAUUACUGGGCGUAAAGCGCGCGUAGGUGGUUAGUUAAGUUGGAUGUGAAAUCCCCGGGCUCAACCUGGGAACUGCAUUCAAAACUGACUGACUAGAGUAUGGUAGAGGGUGGUGGAAUUUCCUGUGUAGCGGUGAAAUGCGUAGAUAUAGGAAGGAACACCAGUGGCGAAGGCGACCACCUGGACUGAUACUGACACUGAGGUGCGAAAGCGUGGGGAGCAAACA
rnacentral:rRNA from 1 species